UGACUAUCAAAUGAUGUAAGAGGGAAGC
rnacentral:piRNA from 1 species